CCUGAGGAAAAAACCGAUGUCUCCACCUGCAAACCUGCACCAUCUCAAGGAGGAUCCAUGAGCCUGUGGCCACAGCAGGGCACGACUGCAGCAGCCAGAGGCUUGCCAAGAAAAACAGGGUUUGACCUGGUUUUGGAGUGGGUGCGACCUGGAUUUACUUCCCGCAAGACUGUGCAGGUUUGAUCCAGCCCUUUGUGAGAGAUAUGAAAUCGCUUCAACAGAAACAGGACCUGACCUUCACCCAGAGACAAGUCAGGACCUGGAGGAGCCCCAACUGCUUAACACAGGCACAGACACGCCAGCAGCCACCUCCUCCCCCUGCCUUGGUUUGGAGCACAGUCAGUCCCAGGGAAAACAUAGAAAUCCAUGACAUCCCUGGAAAACAGGCGUGAUGGAAAUACCAUGGAAACAUGACAGCAAGUAGAGCUGUCAUCUCACGUCUUCUCCAUUGAUGGCUUCUUCAGGGAGAGCAGAGCUGGCUCACGUGUGCACCUCCCUCACCUCUUCCUCUCCAGCUUCACGUCAAGAGCAUGAAGACAUCCCCGUGCUGCAGCCAAAAGGAGCACUUUUUCAUCAGGUUUGGAGGGAAGCUCAAGCCAGCCAUGACCACAACUGUCUGCGCCAACAGCAAAAAUCCCAGCAUGGGCAGAAAGGGGCAGAUGAAACUGGCAGAACUUGCAUCUGGAGCCACCAGAGGGAAGUGUUACUUCCCUCCCCCCAGCCCUUACGCUUCAGCGUUGCCACUUGGCUCAGAUAAUUUACUUUUAAUAGUCUGGUUACAAAAGAGAUCGCGAAGGAAGCACGUGACUCAGAGCAGGGAUUUCUGAGUCACAUUCUCAUUUCCCCCUCAUGCCUCCUAGGCCUCUAAUAAACUACAAAGAGACAUUAAGAAAACACUAAGAACUCUUUAUCUGCUGAGAUUUGGGAACUGGUACAGUGAGCAGGCAAUAAUGGAUUCCAUGUAUUUGCAAUACAUCCCCGAGGCAGCAGCCAAACAGGGGAGACGGGAAG